UAAUGUGUAUAUCCAUGAUCAUAUAUUCAUAUUCCUUUCCUGAAACCACCGCAGACAGCAAUUAUCAUUUCAUUAUUACCAUCAUUAAUUAAUUAUCAGCACCGUUUAGCAUUCUAUGCACCUAUGCUACAUCUGCAACUGCAACUACAACACUUUCUUUGUUGUUAUCUGGGUAAGUGUGGUUGAGGUGUGUGGAACACCCACCACUCACAUUUUUGUGUGUUUUUCUGAAUUCCCAAAAAUAAGAUUCACCCAGAUUUGCAAUUUAAUUUCUGAAGGGCUUAUGGAUGAAAAGAUUUCAUUUUUCUUUUAUUACUUGAGGUUUCUUGAAAUGCUGGCAUUCUGGGUGAUUCUGUAGCUUUCUUGGGAAGAGAUAUGUUGUUAAAGGCUUU
rnacentral:lncRNA from 1 species